rnacentral:rRNA from 1 species
GGAGUUAGCCGGUGCUUCUUCUGUGAGUGAUGUCCUUCCUGCCGGUUAUUGACCCGCAGGCCUUCUUCCUCACUGAAAGUGCUUUACAACCCGAAGGCCUUCUUCACACACGCGGCAUGGCUGGAUCAGGGUUGCCCCCAUUGUCCAAUAUUCCCCACUGCUGCCUCCCGUAGGAGUCUGGGCCGUGUCUCAGUCCCAGUGUGGCUGAUCAUCCCCUCAGACCAGCUACGGAUCGUCGCCUUGGUGAGCCGUUACCUCACCAACCAGCUAAUCCGACAUAGGCUCAUCCGAUAGCGCGAGGCCCGAAGGUCCCCCGCUUUCCCCCGUAGGGCGUAUGCGGUAUUAGCCUGGGUUUCCCCAGGUUAUCCCCCACUACCGGGCAGAUUCCUAUGCAUUACUCACCCGUCCGCCGCUCGCCACCAGGGAGCAAGCUCCCCGUGCUGCCGCUCGACUUGCAUGUGUUAGGCCUGCCGCCAGCGUUCAAUCUGAGCCAGAAUCAAACUCUGA